CAAACCUGAGGUUAUCCUUGUGUUAUCCUCACUCUAUCAAUGAAGGGACAGAAGAUCACCGACUCCUGAGAGCUCCCCGUUACCAAUACCGUCUGCACUGACUAGUGAAGAGAUUUUCAGCUUCAAGCAGCCACAAAGCCUCCCAAGCUGGAUUCAGGAAUUGAGAGAAUGAUUGGUUUGUACAAAUGAAAGAAGCAGGAUGAACCUCGGGUAAGGUUUAUCCCUGCAGCUCCAUGAUGCCAGCAGGGGCCGAGCUCUUUCCUUCACUGUACUUUGCCUUCGCUCCUGCAGGUUUCACCCGAGUUGAGUCUGCUCUCAGAACAGGGAUGCCCACUGCCCUGUCCAGUACCAAAUGCUUCUGAGUGAAAGAAAGGAGCCUCUUCUCUGCCAGUGGAGGGAAGUUCUGGGCUGUCCCUCUGGCGCUGUGGCCUCUCGAUCCCCAGCCAGACACUGCUGCAGGAGAAUGGAAACAGGAAGAAGAAAGGCAACUCAGCUGAAGAAAAGAAACAAGGAAGAGGCACAGGAGCUGGGAGAGGGUCCUGGUCCCGGGGAACUUUCGUGGGCUUCAUAAGCCUCGGUUUCUUCAUCUGCGACUACAAGGCAACAUUCUCUUGCAAAUCUUCACCAGGAGGAGAUGAG
rnacentral:lncRNA from 1 species